UACGUAGGGUGCGAGCGUUAAUCGGAUUUACUGGGCGUAAAGCGUGCGCAGGCGGCCCGUUAAGACAGGUGUGAAAUCCCUGGGCUCAACCUAGGAAUUGCGCUUGUGACUGGCGGGCUCGAGUACGGUAGAGGGGGGUGGAAUUCCUGGUGUAGCAGUGAAAUGCGUAGAGAUCAGGAGGUACACCGAUGGCGAAGGCAGCCCCCUGGGCCUGUACUGACGCUCAUGCACGAAAGCGUGGGGAGCAAACAGG
rnacentral:rRNA from 1 species